GAUAUCUCUAGAAGACAUCUGAAGAGAUUAAAGAUUUAUCGGUGAUGGAUGGGGAUGCGUCUGAUUAGCUUGUUGGCGGGGUAACGGCCCACCAAGGCGACGAUCAGUAGGGGUUCUGAGAGGAAGGUCCCCCACAUUGGAACUGAGACACGGUCCAAACUCCUACGGGAGGCAGCAGUGAGGAAUAUUGGUCAAUGGACGAGAGUCUGAACCAGCCAAGUAGCGUGCAGGAUGACGGCCCUAUGGGUUGUAAACUGCUUUUAUAAGGGAAUAAAGUGAGCCUCGUGAGGCUUUUUGCAUGUACCUUAUGAAUAAGGACCGGCUAAUUCCGUGCCAGCAGCCGCGGUAAUACGGAAGGUCCGGGCGUUAUCCGGAUUUAUUGGGUUUAAAGGGAGCGUAGGCCGGAGAUUAAGCGUGUUGUGAAAUGUAGACGCUCAACGUCUGCACUGCAGCGCGAACUGGUUUCCUUGAGUACGCACAAAGUGGGCGGAAUUCGUGGUGUAGCGGUGAAAUGCUUAGAUAUCACGAAGAACUCCGAUUGCGAAGGCAGCUCACUGGAGCGCAACUGACGCUGAAGCUCGAAAGUGCGGGUAUCGAACAGGAUUAGAUACCCUGGUAGUCCGCACGGUAAACGAUGGAUGCCCGCUGUUGGUCUGAAUAGGUCAGCGGCCAAGCGAAAGCAUUAAGCAUCCCACCUGGGGAGUA
rnacentral:rRNA from 1 species